rnacentral:rRNA from 1 species
GAUGAACGCUAGCGGCAGGCUUAAUACAUGCAAGUCGAGGGGCAGCACGGUUAGCAAUAACUGGUGGCGACCGGCGCACGGGUGCGUAACACGUAUACAAUCUACCUUAAACAGGGGGAUAGCCUUUCGAAAGAGAGAUUAAUACCCCGUAAUAAAUUGAACGGCAUCGUUUGAUUUUGAAAGCUCCGGCGGUUUGAGAUGAGUAUGCGUCUGAUUAGCUAGUUGGUGGGGUAACGGCUCACCAAGGCGACGAUCAGUAGGGGAUCUGAGAGGACUAACCCCCACACUGGUACUGAGACACGGACCAGACUCCUACGGGAGGCAGCAGUAAGGAAUAUUGGUCAAUGGAGGCAACUCUGAACCAGCCAUGCCGCGUGCAGGAUGACGGCCCUAUGGGUUGUAAACUGCUUUUGAUAGGGAACAAAUGCCACUUGCGAGUGGAGCUGAGUGUACCUAUAGAAUAAGCACCGGCUAACUCCGUGCCAGCAGCCGCGGUAAU